rnacentral:lncRNA from 1 species
AUGCUGGUCCACGCCCUUGAACUGCAGGCUCUGAGCAGGGAUUUCAGAGAGGCCUGGGCCAAGUCCCGCUGCUCCUGGUCCCCGAGUGGUGUGGCUGCAGCAUCCCCUCCGGAUCUAGGGCACUCCGGUCACCUCACAGGCGUCUGCAGACCCAGAAAAGCAGGACAGGGAGACGUGGGAGUCACCUCACAGCAGGAGGAAGGCGCGCCGCUGGUGAAGGGAAGCCAGGAGGGAGGGGUCAGGCCCGGCCUCGGGCUCACACAGGUGGGGCGGGACCACGGCCUCGCUGGCGUUCAGCCCCUUCGCCUCCAGAAGCUCAGUGAACAGCUCCAGCGCCUGCGGGUCGUCGUCCAGGGUGCGGCCUGCAGGCAGCGGGCGAGGGGCCUCUUUCACCGCCCCGCCACGUGGGGCUGGACGCCCACAGCCCUCCCAGGAACUCCAGGUGGAAGGGGUCCCGACUUGGCCGUGACGGGAGGGGCACCCAGCAGGCGCACAUCAGGGGCCCCACCCUCCCAGAAGGCGACACCGUACGUCCUGGGUGUGAGCAGCCAGAUGUGGAUCAGGUGUUUCCACCCUGGAAGGACGGGGUUGGGGAGGAGCCAGACCGCCGGGUCCGCAGCACACAAGGCGGCGUCCCAUCCCGGAAGCAGGCAAAGAAGGAAGCAGCAAGAUGCGUCCACGGUGAUCACCUCCCCGUGUCAUCAGCAGAGGAAGCUAGCACCGUGGGAACAUCUCCAUGAAGUUUCCUCAGGAGCUGCGAUGGCCCCGUCACCCUGAAGGGGUGGAUACUGUGUCACCGGAAGAGGACUGCAGGAGGCUCCAUGCUCGGAACCGCAGGCGCCCCGCCCUGGCGGACAUGCGGACGGGGCGCACCGGCCCUCGUGGGCCCAGCACAGCCCCACCCCAGGGGACACAGGGAUGCACCCGGAAAGGCAGGCAGCAGGCACCCUGGAAGCGGCACGGAGACGCGCACCGGCCCUCAGGCUGGCUGGCGCCACGCAGUCGACAACCGCCAUGUCACAGAGAAGCACCGACACAAUAGGCCAGCCUGGAGACAUGCGUGAACCAUCCCGACAUGGAGAAACCUCUGGGAAAACGUGCCACACGGCGGGUCGCUCUUGGCCUUGCCCUUGAGAGCCAGAAAGGUCCAGAGUCAGCGGAGGAGCAGCUGAUGAACAAGGACUCAGAGAACACGAGAGUACUGACACCCAACGACUCAGAGGUCGAGCUUACUUGGGAUGCCAGAGCUGUUCGGGAGCCAGUAACCAGAAGGACCUUGCGCAACACCCGGGGAAACCCCCUGAAGGCCAUUCUUCCCCUAACUGUACAGGCUGCGGUGGAGGAGCAAGUGGAGCUCCGGAGAGGUCUGCACCGAGACUUCAUGGAUUACAUGGGUGCCCAAUAUUCAGAUUCUGUAGAACUGCCUUCAUGGAGAAGGAGGAGCCCUUCACAAGUAUAGAGGAAAAAGUGGAUGGCCCGUUGCUGGACACUGGUGCUGGUCUCUCGGUCCUUCUUUUCAGUCCUGGCCUGCCUUCCAGCCAUCACACCUCAGUGAGGGGAGUCACUGAUGAGGAGGUAUUUUUCCCAGCCCUUGGGCUGUAAGUACUUGUUGGAUUUUUCUUGCAUAUCUUUGUUUUCCUGAGAAACCACUUCGAGGAUGCCAACAUGUAUUGCAGCAGCCAUUGACGAUUUCCUACCAAUCUGUCCAUAACUCUGUAAUGUUUGCAUUGUUCCUAUGCUAUUUCGUAAAUGGAUGCAUGUUCGUUACUAUGUGUUUUCAAUAACAACCAUUGGGAAUAGUCAAUGAUUAUCUGAUUGAUCACUCAUGUAUAGCUCUGUUUGUUUUCCCUAGAGACCACUUUGGAGAAACCAGGGUAUAGUACAACAACCAUUGAUAAUUUCCUGCCGUUUUUGUCUGUAACUCACUAUUAUUUGUCUAUUUGUUUUCCUGAGAAACUAUCUUGAAGAUACCAAUAGGUAAAAUAACAACCAUUGAUAAUGUCUUAGCAUUUUGUCUGUAAUUUGGUGAAUCCCCCUAUUGCUAUGUUGUCC